AUUUUCCUUGCUUUCUCUUCACUUGGAUUUUUUUCAGUUGGCAUGAACUCUGAGGAAUGAUUUGGCCUCUGUUUUUUAUGUUCUAGAUCUUUUGCCCUGUUGGUGGCUUCGAAGAGGUAACUCUUGCGAUCGACUCUACUUUUCGAUCUUAGUUAUGGCGAUGAGGUUCCAGGCGAGGAAGCCGAAGUACAAGAGGGUAGGGAUGACCAUUUUGAGAAGAAAAGAGAAUUAUCAAGUUGUUGGUGUUUCUGAAUAGCCUAUUUGAAGCAUUCCAAAUGCUACAUAAGGGGAACAGGUGCUUGCAGAUUGGCCUUCUUGGAUUGUUAAGGUAGCUGGCGAAGUUAUCAAGGGACAGAUACUGUAGAGAUCUAAUAGUUUUAGAAAGUUAGAUAAGGUCGACACGUCUAAAAUCCUCUUUAGUGAAAGAUAAGCAAUCGGGAGAAGAAGUAAGAUUAAAAAGAUGGUUAAGAGAUCUUAAGAUUGAUAUGCUUCUUCUUCAAGAGACAAAACUAAAGGACAUAUUAAAGGCUGUUAUUGGCUCACUCGGGGGUGUUAUUGACUGUGAUUAUCUAGAAGUCGAUGCUAUUGGCAGUGCUGGGGGACUACUAACAAUUUGGAAUUCUGACUUCUUCAAGCUGGAAGCUGCAUGUUGCAAUAGGAAUUUUAUUUUGCUAAAAGAUACAAUCCCUUCAAACUUUCAGUGCAUUAUUAUCAAUAUAUAUGGCCCUUGCUCUCUUACUGAUAGAAGAUGCAUGUGUUGGGGCUGUUUUUGGGUUCUAUUUGGUCUUUGGGCUGUGGUGGGGUGGGCUUUGGGGCUGUUUUUUGCGAUCUCUGUGGAAUUGUUCUGGAUGGUUUUGACUCGUCCAAGGGUGAAUUGAGGUGUCGAGGUUGUGUUUUGCAAGUUGGUUCGGGAUUGGUUGGUUGGAGGCUGUAAGUUUUGGACGGGUUUGGGGGUUAUUUUAUUCCUCACUUUCUCUACCCCUUUUUAACUCCUAAGUUUGGAGGGCUAAGAGUUUUAUGGUGGAGCUUCCACUCAUUCUCUGGAAUCAAUUGUGUUGAGCUGAUGUAUCUCUUACCAACUCCAUCCCUAGAGGGCUAAGAGAUUAACCAUGUACUUCUCGGAGGGCUACGAUACCUUAGAGUGUGAGCAUGAAGCUUUACUCAUUACUACCGUGUCUUAUUCUCAAAGAAUACAGCUUGUUAUUGUGCUACUCUCUGGAAUCUAUUCUGCUGGGUUUGGAACCUUCAUUGCUGGAUUUUUCAUGGCACGUGUGGCAUUAUCUUAGAUUGGAAAUGGACUUCAACUGGAGCGUUGGUAAACUAUUCUACUUCUAUUCGAUUGCUUAUGGUCCAUGGCUGUUGAAAUCACUUGUGGUAGUUCCAGUCACAUAUACAGCAAAUGUUUGUUCCCCGUUCCAUGGGUGCUGUUCAGACCUCUUGUGGCAGUUCCAUUUCUUUUCUGUUUCAUUUGCCUCGUUUGUUGAUUACUUAUCAACCGGCUUUUUGGCUUUUGUUGUUUUGAUGUUUUGGAUAGGUGCCAACCUUGUUGGGAUGUAUCCAAGGCAUCUUUUUUUGGGAUUAUCUCUUGUAUUUUGUUCUCCUCUCUCUUAAUAUAGUUUUCUUCUUCGCUGUUCAAAAAGAAAAAAAGAAAGAUAGGUUGGUUGCUAGCAUGCUAUAGAAUACUUGAAACAGGGUCCCUAUAUGAUGGUACUGUUUGUAACGUGCUGCAAUUUGGAUGCUGUACGCAUAGCGAACAGUAGCAUUUCUUAGUUACAUAUCAUGAAUAUCAAGAAAUGUUGAUGUGUUUUUGUUAGC